AAUGGGCGCAAGCCUGACCGAGCGACGCCGCGUGUGCGAUGAAGGCCUUCGGGUUGUAAAGCACUGUCGGGGGGGAGGAAACCGCAAGGUUGACCUAUCCCCGGAGGAAGCACGGGCUAAGUUCGUGCCAGCAGCCGCGGUAAGACGAACCGUGCGAACGUUGUUCGGAAUCACUGGGCUUAAAGGGCGCGUAGGCGGGCUGCCAAGUCCGGGGUGAAAUCUUUCGGCUUAACCGGAAAAGUGCCUUGGAUACUGGCGGUCUCGAGGGAGGUAGGGGUAUGUGGAACUUCCGGUGGAGCGGUGAAAUGCGUUGAUAUCGGAAGGAACGCCGGUGGCGAAAGCGACGUACUGGACCUCUUCUGACGCUGAGGCGCGAAAGCCAGGGGAGCGAACGGGAUUAGAUACCCCGGUAGUCCUGGCCCUAAACGAUGGGUACUAGGUAGUAGACUUUCAUGGGUUUACUGCCGAAGCAAAAGUGGUAAUACCCCGCCUGGGGAGUAUG
rnacentral:rRNA from 1 species